AUUGAACGCUGGCGGCAGGCCUAACACAUGCAAGUCGAACGAGUGGCGGACGGGUGAGUACUGUCUGGGAAACUGCCCGAUGGCGGGGGAUAACUACUGGAAACGGUAGCUAAUACCGCGUUCCAUCCGAUGUGCCCAGAUGGGAUUAGCUUGUAGGUGAGGUAACGGCUAACCUAGGCAACGAUCCCUAGCUGGUCUGAGAGGAUGACCAGCCACAAUGGAACGGAGACACGGGCCAGACUCCUACGGGAGGCAGCAGUGGGGAAUAUUGCACAAUGGACGCAAGCCGGAUGCAGCCAGGCCGCGUGUAUGAAGAAGGCCUUCGGGUUGUAAAGUACUUUCAGCGGGGAGGCGUUACCCGCCGAGGAAGCACCGGCUAACUCCGUGCCAGCAGCCGCGGUAAUAC
rnacentral:rRNA from 1 species